UCGGGAAUUUUGGGCAAUGGGCGAAAGCCUGACCCAGCAACGCCGCGUGAAGGAUGAAAUCCCUCGGGAUGUAAACUUCGCAAGAACAGGAAGAAUAAACCGGUGCCAACACCACCGGCGAUGACGGUACUGUUUGUAAGCUCCGGCUAACUCCGUGCCAGCAGCCGCGGUAAUACGGGGGGAGCAAGCGUUGUUCGGAUUUACUGGGCGUAAAGGGCGCGUAGGCGGCCACCGCAAGUCGGUUGUGAAAUCUCUGGGCUUAACUCGGAAAGGUCAGCCGAUACUGCGGGGCUAGAGUGCAGAAGGGGCAACUGGAAUUCUCGGUGUAGCGGUGAAAUGCGUAGAUAUCGAGAGGAACACCUGCGGCGAAGGCGGGUUGCUGGGCUGACACUGACGCUGAACUGCGAAAGCUAGGGGAGCGAACGGGAUUAGAUACCCCGGUCGUCCUAGCCUUAAACGAUGAAUGCUUGGUGUCUGGGGUUUUAUAGUCCCCGGGUGCCGUCGCUAACGCUUUAAGCAUUCCGCCUGGGGAGUACGGUCGCAAGACUGC
rnacentral:rRNA from 1 species